rnacentral:lncRNA from 1 species
CUGCAUGAAGAUUAUUCUGUUCACUGUUAAGUGCUUCUGUGGCCAUUGCAACAUGCUGGAGAGGAGUCCUGGGCUCUUGGGAGACGGCUGCUACUACCAGCCUGAAAGAAAGUGUCUGAAGACAGGAAAGAAAAAACAUGUUCACUGUCUGUGUGGUUAUCGAACAAAGAAGUAUGAGGACAUAUGGUGGCAGAGUGUGAAACAGUAUAUUACAAGCCUCCAGAUAAAAGCACUUAAAGAAAGGUUCCUUCUGCACAGCGACUUGCUGCUCCUGGGGCUGUCGCAGUAUGCCACUUCUUGUUUUUGGAACAUCUUCUCCAGCUGUUCAUGGCAAGAGUCUUCCCCUGGUGCUGCUGCUGGUUCAGUCUUUGUUGGAAUGACUGAAAUGUGUAUGCUCUUGGAAAAACAUGUGUAGUGAUGGUCCAGGCAGUCCCUUGGUGGCAGCUUGAGGGAAAUAAAAAAAAAAAGAAAAGGAGGACA